GAUGAACGCUGGCGGCGUGCCUAAUACAUGCAAGUCGAGCGAAUGGAUUAAGAGCUUGCUCUUAUGAAGUUAGCGGCGGACGGGUGAGUAACACGUGGGUAACCUGCCCAUAAGACUGGGAUAACUCCGGGAACCCGGGGCUAAUACCGGAUAACAUUUUGAACCGCAUGGUUCGAAAUUGAAAGGCGGCUUCGGCUGUCACUUAUGGAUGGAUCGGCGUCGCAUUAGCUAGUUGGGGAGGUAACGGCUCACCAAGGCAACGAUGCGUAGCCGACCUGGGAGGGAGAUCGGCCACACUGGGGCUGGGACACGGCCCAGACUCCUACGGGAGGCAGCAGUAGGGAAUCUUCCGCAAUGGACGAAAGUCUGACGGAGCAACGCCGCGUGAGUGAUGAAGGCUUUCGGGUCGUAAAACUCUGUUGUUAGGGAAGAACAAGUGCUAGUUGAAUAAGCUGGCACCUUGACGGUACCUAACCAGAAAGCCACGGCUAACUACGUGCCAGCCGCCGCCGUAA
rnacentral:rRNA from 1 species